GUGUCACUGGAGUUUGUGUUUGGCCUGGAACUGCUCUGUCCUGCAGUGUAGACUUGAGCAUAGGAAAGAGACUUUACAGGUAACCUGUGAUAGGCUUAGUCACUCAGGGUAGCAGUUCUCCGGUCCUCCCGGAGGCAACCCCUGCCCGCAGCGUGUGUGCAGUCACGAGAGCGGGCUUUUCUGGAGAUGAUGGGAGCAGUACGGCAGGGCCUUUAAGUUAGGUCAGUGUUUGUGCAGGUUGUCUUCAGAGCCCAGAUGGCUUAUCAGAAGAGAAAUUAAAAUUGCACAGCAGUUAAAGUCCCUCCAUUUAUAUGGCUGAAUUUGGUAUCUCAUUUCUUUGCAGUGUCAGAGGGACUGGAUGUAAAGCAGAGAUAAAAAGAAGAGGCUGGAGGAGCACAGUCAGAAGAUGCGGAGCCCUCGGCCCAGCAGACGAUAGGCACCGGAGGGAAGGUGAGCCUGGUGAGGAAGGCAAUGCACCGACAUCUAAC